GGGCUGAUAGCUCAGUCGGUAGAGCAGCGGACUUUUAAUCCGUUGGUCGCGAGUUCGAGUCUCGCUCAGCCCA
rfam:Achromobacter piechaudii HLE Contig_29, whole genome shotgun sequence.